rnacentral:misc_RNA from 1 species
UUUUUUUUUUAGAAAACUUUCACUUGCAUUGUAUACAGAGCUUGAAUAAGAACAUUGAUGACAGUAAAAGAAAUUAAAAAUAAAAUAAAAUAAAAACCUGAUGGGGAAGACUCAACUUAAUCAAGGUUUAAAUCUCAGAUGAUUGGGCGUUUGAGGGCAAUCAUGUGCUCACAAAAUGUUAAUUAACAUAUCAUGAUUUUCAAUGGAAAUUUAAAAUUUUAAAGAUCUCGCCAUACCCUUGUAGAUUCCAAUAGUGAAAUAGCCUGCUUUCACUCGUAUGAGUAGAAUCUGCAAGGCACAUCCCCUUGUUGGAAAAUACAAGGAUUACCCCCUCACAGGAUUUAAGCUUUCCCCCUAUGAAUGUUGCAGAUCUGUUCUCAAUCAAGGACAUAAGAAUUGGUUCACAGUCAAAGACCAAGUAAUAGGUAUCAUAGGAUUGCCUCAAAACUUUAUUUCCCGCCUCUCUGCAAAAAAUUUUCCUGACACGGACAUAUCUGGAAGCAGGGCAAGCCAUACUCCAGUGUCAGCUGCAUCCCCCGUUGAUAUAUUACCAGCCCAACCCGUCAUGGCAGUCUUUACCCAACCUGGACAGUAGCAGUUGACAUAGAUCUUCUGAUCUUCAGGCCGGUCUGACAGUUCCUUUGACAUCAACCUAGUGAAAGCAUUAACCGCAAGUUUUGACACCGAGUAGUCAGUGAAUGUCUGAGGCCACCCACCUGAUGUCCAAGUGCCCUCUUCCACUUGCUGUAGGAAAUUAGAUAGAGUCCUUUCAAUGAGUUCUUCUGAUAGUGUUUCAAUGUCAGUUAAUUGUUCUCUCAAAGUUGCAUCUUCAAUUCUAUUUCGUCUGCCAUUUAUUCUACCCAGCCGUGAGCUUACAUUAACAAUACGAGCACCUGCAGUAGAAGACCUCAUCAAAGGAAUCAUAGCUUUAGUCAAAUUUUUAGUGCCAUAAUAGUUGGUAUCAAUAACCAUACGAGCAAAUUCAACAGAAUUAUCAGACCCCGUGUUGUAAUUCACACCGGCAUUGUUCACCAGAAUAUCAAUAACACCAUAGGUUUGUUGUAUCCAUUCAGUAAACUGUUUGAUAGACAAAGAAUCUAAGACAUCAAGUUGAUGGAAGACCACACUCAGACCUGACUCUUGCAAGACAUUAACAGCUUCAAGGCCAGC